GCCUGCGUGGCUCAAUGGUAGAGCGUUGCUUUCCUAUGAACUGGUUAGGCAAAGGUUGUGGGUUCGAUCCCCAUCGUAGGUU
rnacentral:tRNA from 1 species